GAGGAGGGAGAUUUAACUGUUUAAAGCUCCUGGGGGCCUGAUCUUCUAGUCCUAUCAUGCUACACAUAUUGCAGGAUCAAAUCUGAACUAGCCUAUGUUCUGGGACCAUGUGCUGUCUGUUUGCUUGUGCCGGAAGACUGCAGCUCUACACCAAAUACAGCAGUGGGAGACAGGGCAGCAGGAAUCACACCAACAUUUAAAUGGUGGGGGUGGAUUUGAGAGAGGGACAAAGCUUGCUUUCAGG